rnacentral:rRNA from 1 species
AGUGAACGCUGGCGGCAGGCCUAACACAUGCAAGUCGAACGGCAGCACAGCAGUAGCAAUACUGUGGGUGGCGAGUGGCGGACGGGUGAGGAAUACAUCGGGAUCUACCGUUUUCGUGGGGGAUAACGUAGGGAAACUUACGCUAAUACCGCAUACGCCCUACGGGGGAAAGCGGCGGACCGCAAGGCGUCGCGCGAUGAGAUGAACCGAUGUCCGAUUAGCUAGUUGGCGGGGUAAAGGCCCACCAAGGCGACGAUCGGUAGCUGAUCUGAGAGGAUGAUCAGCCACACUGGAACUGAGACACGGUCCAGACUCCUACGGGAGGCAGCAGUGGGGAAUAUUGGACAAUGGGCGCAAGCCUGAUCCAGCCAUGCCGCGUGGGUGAAGAAGGCCUUCGGGGUUGUAAAGCCCUUUUGUCCGGAAAGAAAAGCACGGGAUUAAUACCCUCGUGUGAUGACGGUACCGGAAGAAUAAGCACCGGCUAACUUCGUG